CAGCCGCCGCGGUAAUUCGAAGGGUGCAAGCGUUAAUCGGAAUUACUGGGCGUAAAGCGUGCGUAGGCGGUUUGUUAAGUCUGUUGUGAAAUCCCCGGGCUCAACCUGGGAAUUGCAGUGGAUACUGGAUCACUAGAGUGUGGUAGAGGAUAGUGGAAUUUCCGGUGUAGCAGUGAAAUGCGUAGAGAUCGGAAGGAACAUCUGUGGCGAAGGCGACUAUCUGGGCCAACACUGACACUGAGGCACGAAAGCGUGGGGAGCAAACAGGAUUAGAUACCCCUGUAGUCCCUGUCUCUUAUAC
rnacentral:rRNA from 1 species